rnacentral:rRNA from 1 species
GACGAACGCUGGCGGCGUGCUUAACACAUGCCAGUCGAACGGAAAGGCCCUGCCUUUGUGCGGGGCGCGAGUGGCGAACGGGUGAGUAACACGUGAGUAACCGUCCUGUGACGUUGGGAUACCUUCAGGAAACUGGGGCUAAUACCCGAUCGGAGCUCCUGCGGAAUGGUGGGGGUUGGAAAGUUUGUGCGGUUGGGGUUGGACUCGGGGGUUAUGAGCUUGUUGGUGGGGUAGGGGCUUACCAAGGACUUGGCGGGUCGCCGGCCUGAGAGGGUGACCGGCCACAUUGGGACUGCGGUACGGCCCAGUGGCCUACUGUAGGCAGCAGUGGGGAAUAUUGUACAAUGGGGCGGAGCGUGUGGCAGCGACGCUGCGUGCGGGAUGAAGGCCUUCGGGUUGUGAACCGCUUGCGCCUGUGACGAUGCGUGAGUGACGGUAAUGGGUAAAGAAGCACCGGCUAACUACGUG